UCGGUGAAUACAAUUUUUGUUUUCGAAGUGGGCUGCAACAGAUCGCCAUUUUUAUUUGUGCUCACUUAAAACAGCAAAUCAACCAGACAAUAGCGCAUUUUUACUGAUAUCAACCGACCCACGUACGUAUAGUACUGCUAGUGUGCGAAAAUAAUAUUCUUUUUACUACACAGCAGGUUCACAAAAAAUAGCAGUAGGCCUACGUUAAUUGGAUCGAUACCUACAUGAUAUUCAGGCAGGAGAUUUACGAGGAGAUGUACAUAGAACAUGCACUAUACAUUAAACUCCGUUCGUGUCAUAUAUCAUAAUAGUACUGUGCAGUUAUACUUUGAAUAUUGUGCUCCAUUGCUUCGAUCUGAUCUGUCGUAGAAGAGAACGAAUUGCCAGUUGCUGAUAAAAGGAUCCUCUCCUCGAGGAGGCCAAGAUGACCCGUAAACUUAAAGACGGCCAAAAGGAAGGAAGUGAGAAGCCUGUAGAGUCAGUAGAUGGUGAUGAAACGGAAUAUGGCUUUGGUUUUACGGAAGAGUUGAGUGCUAACUUAUCUGAUACGAAGAAAUUGACUAUCAACGUGCAAGCCGCUGAUAGGAUGAAAUAUGAAGGUAAUACUGACAAUAAUAAUUCAUAAUAAUAAUUUUGUUUAUCCGGGAAGCACAUAUUUUCUUUACACAACUGUUAAGCCACUUCAGUGAAAUAUACUAUGCAAACGACUAGAGACAUAGUCUAACAUUGAGAAAUAUAACAUAUUAUAUUCAAAGAAGCUGAUUAUUAAGAAGGCGGAUUAGAUAUGGUAUUGCUUUGCCUCACUAUUUAUAAAGUCCAAAAAUAGGACAGAAUAAAUACUGAGAUUCGAAUUCACAACUCCAAGAUUGCAUUACGCUAUCCUUACCGAUUGAGCAAACGAUGGGUUGAUGAAAGCUGGGUUUGCAUGAUUAUUAUAACCAUAUCACUAACCCUAACGAUUACCAUGCGUGCAUGCGCAGGUUUAAAAU